UACGGGGGGAGCAAGCGUUGUUCGGAUUUACUGGGCGUAAAGGGCGCGUAGGCGGCCACCGCAAGUCGACUGUGAAAUCUCCGGGCUUAACCCGGAAAGGUCAGUCGAUACUGCGGGGCUAGAGUGCAGAAGGGGCAACUGGAAUUCUCGGUGUAGCGGUGAAAUGCGUAGAUAUCGAGAGGAACACCUGCGGCGAAGGCGGGUUGCUGGGCUGACACUGACGCUGAGGCGCGAAAGCUAGGGGAGCGAACGGG
rnacentral:rRNA from 1 species